rnacentral:rRNA from 1 species
CUGGCGGCGUGCUUAACACAUGCAAGUCGCACGAGAACGCUUCAGCUUGCUGAGGCUAGUAAAGUGGCGCACGGGUGAGUAACGCGUGGGUAAUCUCCCCCUGAAUUGGGGAUAACAUCGCGAAAGCGAUGCUAAUACCGAAUGACAUCUGAAGAAUUCCGGUUUUUUGGAUCAAAGGUGGCCUCUACAUGUAAGCUACUGUUUGGGGAUGAGCCCGCGUACCAUUAGCUUGUUGGUAGGGUAAUGGCCUACCAAGGCUACGAUGGUUAGCUGGUCUGAGAGGAUGAUCAGCCACACUGGAACUGACACACGGUCCAGACUCCUACGGGAGGCAGCAGUGAGGAAUUUUGCGCAAUGGGGGAAACCCUGACGCAGCAACGCCGCGUGAGUGAUGAAGGCUUUCGGGUCGUAAAGCUCUGUCAAGUGGGAAGAAAACAUAUGGUGACAAUACCGCUGUAUGCUGACGGUACCACUGAAGGAAGCACCGGCUAACUCCGUGCCAGCAGCCGCGGUAAUACGGAGGGUGCAAGCGUUAUUCGGAAUCAUUGGGCGUAAAGGGCGCGUAGGCGGUUUAAUAAGUCAGAUGUGAAAGCCCGGGGCUUAACCCCGGAAGUGCAUUUGAUACUGUUAAACUUGAGUAUGGG